GCUUGAAUAGUUUAAUAAAAAUAUUGAUUUGUGAUGUCAGAGAUGUAAUUUAAUACUUCAGGUU
rnacentral:tRNA from 1 species